CCUACGGAGGCUGCAGUGGGGAAUAUUGCACAAUGGGGGAAACCCUGAUGCAGCGACGCCGUGUGAGUGAAGAAGUAAUUCGUUACGUAAAGCUCUAUCAGCAGGGAAGAAAUACUGACCUUACGGUCAGCAGACGGUACCUGAGUAAGAAGCCCCGGCUAACUACGUGCCAGUAGCCGCGGUAAUACGUAGGGGGCAAGCGUUAUCCGGAUUUACUGGGUGUAAAGGGAGCGUAGACGGUGCGCCAAGUCUGGAGUGAAAUGCCGCGGCUUAACUGCGGAACUGCUUUGGAAACUGGCGAACGUGAGUGAGUGAGAAGUAUGCGGAAGGCGUGGUGUAGCGGUGAAAUGCAUAGAUAUCACGCAGAACUCCGAUUGCGAAGGCAGCAUACCGGCGCUCAACUGACGCUCAUGCACGAAAGUGUGGGUAUCGAACAGGAUUAGAUACCCCUAUAGUC
rnacentral:rRNA from 1 species